rnacentral:lncRNA from 1 species
CAUUCAAAGGAAUUGAGACAAGAUCUUCAAUUGGCUUAUCCCGUUCUUCAGCAAGGUUGUCGCGAGUGUCUAAUCCAUCAACCGGGCAAGGGUCGGAUUGUCCCUUCCUCUGAAGGGCUAUAUUAUAGCAAUGUCUUGCCAGGACUUGAUCUCCUCUGACUUCUCUGACCCCCUGGCUAGUAGAAAAUUUCAAUUUCAAAUAGUAGGUUGAUACCACAGCUCGGAAGCCGAAAAAGUCCUGGAAGGGUCGG